ACAUUCGGAAGGCAGUCACGAUUCAGUGAUCUUAUCCUGCAGAACGCCUUCUCUUGGCGUUUACAUCAUAUAAUUUGGUUUGAAAGGCUUUCACUCGGGGUGGUGGAUGGUGUUUGACGGAUUGAGCCGAAGCUUGCGGAAAUCACCAGUGGCCUUCCGUUCUUUUUGUGGCUGUUGUGAACCUGCUUAAGAUGCCUGACGUCUACUUUGCUCUUGACUUACCCUGAAGCCAUUGCUGAACAACUCGUCCCGUGUCCGCAAACCAGAGUCUUUGACAAGUGUGGAUAACUGGGAAAGAAUCAAACUUUUAAAAUACUCUGUGAUGAAGUGAAAUAUGAUUUCCAGAGAGCUUCUGGCCUGAGGAGACGCUGGAGGAGUAUGUCUGACAGAGGACUACCUACUGGAAAUGGCUGUUUGAGCCGUUACACAUUUAAGAAACCAAGAAUUGUAAAAUGUACCUAAUAUCAUUAACUAGGAUACUCAGGAAUGUGAGCUGGUUUUCAGGAGGCUCUCAGACUGCUGCUUGGCUGUCGGAAUAUCUUUGAGAAAUAACCUUGGCAACGCAGGAACCUUUCGAUGCAGACUUCUGUUGCAGCCUGUUCCUACGUGGCACAAGGUCGUUAAAGAUAAAUCAUUCCUUGAUGCAGGGAUAAAUAUAUAGAACACAAAAGGAUAACAGAGCUGCUUAGGUUCUAAGCACAUCUCGAUUGGAAAGAUCACACCUUUUUCGACAGGUAGGUGGUGGAUUUUGCCACGGGAUUUGUUAAUAAAGUCUUGCCUGAAAGUAGAUAGCA
rnacentral:lncRNA from 1 species